rnacentral:rRNA from 1 species
AGCUUGCUCCCAUUUCUCAGCGGCGGACGGGUGAGUAACACGUGGGCAACCUGCCCUGCAGACUGGGAUAACUCCGGGAAACCGGAGCUAAUACCGGGUAAUACAUAGCAUCGCAUGAUGCAACGUUGAAAGUUGGCCUUUGGCUAACACUGUAGGAUGGGCCCGCGGCGCAUUAGCUAGUUGGUAAGGUAACGGCUUACCAAGGCCACGAUGCGUAGCCGACCUGAGAGGGUGAUCGGCCACACUGGGACUGAGACACGGCCCAGACUCCUACGGGAGGCAGCAGUAGGGAAUCUUCCGCAAUGGACGAAAGUCUGACGGAGCAACGCCGCGUGAGUGACGAAGGCCUUCGGGUCGUAAAGCUCUGUUGUUAGGGAAGAACAAGUACCGUUCGAAUAGGGCGGUACCUUGACGGUACCUAACCAGAAAGCCACGGCUAACUACGUGCCAGCAGCCGCGGUAAUACGUAGGUGGCAAGCGUUGUCCGGAAUUAUUGGGCGUAAAGCGCGCGCAGGCGGUCUCUUAAGUCUGAUGUGAAAGCCCACGGCUCAACCGUGGAGGGCCAUUGGAAACUGGGGGACUUGAGUGCAGAAGAAGAGAGUGGAAUUCCACGUGUAGCGGUGAAAUGCGUAGAUAUGUGGAGGAACACCAGUGGCGAAGGCGGCUCUCUGGUCUGUAACUGACGCUGAAGCGCGAAAGCGUGGGGAGCGAACAGGAUUAGAUACCCUGGUAGUCCACGCCGUAAACGAUGAGUGCUAAGUGUUUGGGGGCUUCCACCCUCAGUGCUGAAGUUAACACAUUAAGCACUCCGCCUGGGGAGUACGACCGCAAGGUUGAAACUCAAAGGAAUUGACGGGGGCCCGCACAAGCAGUGGAGCAUGUGGUUUAAUUCGAAGCAACGCGAAGAACCUUACCAGGUCUUGACAUCCUCUG